UUUGACUCUGCUUCUCUCUCUCCACAGGUCUCUACAGAAGAAUGUGGAAAAUGUGACAGCAAUAUCACCGAAUACUUAACGACAACGACAACCACAGUCACGAUCGGAUCCAAUCCAAGCUGCAACAUCUCAAUCUGGCAAAAUAUAUCUGCAAAUAAUUUGAUUCCUGGAGCAAUCUAUCAAAUCUACUUUGACUGCUUGAACUGCUGCAAAGAGGCCACCACAAAGCCUGAAGUAGUCGGGAAUCUCUCUGUCACUGAAAUCACAACAUCCUCCAUAUCUGUGAUGUGGAAUGAACCAGAGGGGAACAGCUCUUCCUACAGAGUACAGUGGAGUGAUGGAAAUGUCACUAAAAGUGAAAACGUGACUGAAACACAAAUAACCAUUUCUAACCUGACUGCUGGUGUCCAGUAUGAUAUAAAUAUCACUGCAGUGGCAGGUGAUGGCAGUACUGAAGGACAGAGCACCACUGUUUCUCCGU